GAUUCCCAUAUCAAUGGCAUCUUGGGUAGUCACAUCCCCUAUGCUCAUAGGAUCUGCAUCACAGAGCUACAUGCAGUCAUCAGAUACACAGCAUGAGAACUACCUGUGAGGGCUUUCGUGAGGACCUUCCAGUCAGUCCAUUUAUUUGUUCUAUUUCACUGAUCUUCAGUUGCACCUCCUGCACUCUCAGAUGAACCCGAAGAUGACAUUUUUUGCACAGAGAACAACUGUGAUAAAAGUCCAUCUGUGACCUAAGAGAAGCACUGAGAACAACAAGGAGGAUGCAUCAGAAAAGGAACAAAGCCUGCUAGCUCAAGAAUAUCCAGUGUUCCAGACACAGUGCCAUGGAAAGCCAUGUCUUUCAAACCACAGAUAAGUGGUGCAUGUGAACUGGGCUUCCUAGAGGGGCAGCCCUGCCUGCAAAGCCUUUCUCACUGAAGACUUCUCUCACUAGGAACAGGAGCAACUCCUAGGGACAAGGAGUAGGAACAUCAAAACCUGUACUUGGCCAAUUUUGAGAAACAGAGGCUGAAACUGUGACAGUGGUCACCAUGCUGCAGGUGACCAACUCAGUUCUCAGGAACCUAUUUGUGCCCCUUUAUACAGUUAUGACAAGCAGUGAUAUACUCAAUCAUCAAGCAUGGAACAGAGGUCAUCAAGAGAAUGAAGACAUUGCAGCCAGGUUCCUAACUUGGGCCUAAGUACGAGUCACUAAAGGCACCUUGGUCAAGUUUCUAGUAUUGCCUUUGUGAUUAAAGUCAAGUCAUUUUGUGGCAAAUAAAGUCAG